GAAUUCGCCCUUAGAGUUUGAUCCUGGCUCAGGACGAACGCUGGCGGCGUGCUUAACACAUGCAAGUCGAACGGAGCACCCCUGAAGGAGUUUUCGGACAACGGAUGGGAAUGCUUAGUGGCGGACUGGUGAGUAACGCGUGAGGAACCUGCCUUCCAGAGGGGGACAACAGUUGGAAACGACUGCUAAUACCGCAUGAUGCGUUGGAGCCGCAUGACUCCGACGUCAAAGAUUUAUCGCUGGAAGAUGGCCUCGCGUCUGAUUAGCUAGUUGGUGAGGUAACGGCCCACCAAGGCGACGAUCAGUAGCCGGACUGAGAGGUUGGCCGGCCACAUUGGGACUGAGAUACGGCCCAGACUCCUACGGGAGGCAGCAGUGGGGAAUAUUGGGCAAUGGACGCAAGUCUGACCCAGCAACGCCGCGUGAAGGAAGAAGGCUUUCGGGUUGUAAACUUCUUUUAAGGGGGAAGAGCAGAAGACGGUACCUCUUGAAUAAGCCACGGCUAACUACGUGCCAGCAGCCGCGGUAAUACGUAGGUGGCAAGCGUUGUCCGGAUUUACUGGGUGUAAAGGGCGUGUAGCCGGGCUGACAAGUCAGAUGUGAAAUUCCGGGGCUCAACCCCGGACCUGCAUUUGAAACUGUUGGUCUUGAGUAUCGGAGAGGCAGGCGGAAUUCCUAGUGUAGCGGUGAAAUGCGUAGAUAUUAGGAGGAACACCAGUGGCGAAGGCGGCCUGCUGGACGACAACUGACGGUGAGGCGCGAAAGCGUGGGGAGCAAACAGGAUUAGAUACCCUGGUAGUCCACGCUGUAAACGAUGGAUACUAGGUGUGCGGGGACUGACCCCCUGCGUGCCGCAGUUAACACAAUAAGUAUCCCACCUGGGGAGUACGAUCGCAAGGUUGAAACUCAAAGGAAUUGACGGGGGCCCGCACAAGCGGUGGAUUAUGUGGUUUAAUUCGAAGCAACGCGAAGAACCUUACCAAGCCUUGACAUCCCCCUGGAUGCGCGGUAACGCGCGCAGGCCUUCGGGACAGGGGAGACAGGUGGUGCAUGGUUGUCGUCAGCUCGUGUCGUGAGAUGUUGGGUUAAGUCCCGCAACGAGCGCAACCCUCGUCCUUAGUUGCUAGCAAUUCGGCUGAGCACUCUAAGGAGACUGCCUUCGUAAGGAGGAGGAAGGUGAGGACGACGUCAAGUCAUCAUGGCCCUUACGCCUAGGGCUACACACGUGCUACAAUGGGGCGCACAAAGAGGAGCAAUAUCGCGAGGUGGAGCAAAUCUCAAAAACGUCUCUCAGUUCGGAUUGUAGUCUGCAACUCGACUACAUGAAGCUGGAAUCGCUAGUAAUCGUGAAUCAGCCAUGUCACGGUGAAUACGUUCCCGGGUCUUGUACUCACCACCCGUCA
rnacentral:rRNA from 1 species